rnacentral:rRNA from 1 species
GACGAACGCUGGCGGCGUGCUUAACACAUGCAAGUCGAGCGAGCGGCGGACGGGUGAGUAAUGCCUAGGAAUCUGCCUGGUAGUGGGGGAUAACGUCCGGAAACGGGCGCUAAUACCGCAUACUAUCAGAUGAGCCUAGGUCGGAUUAGCUAGUUGGUGGGGUAAAGGCCUACCAAGGCGACGAUCCGUAACUGGUCUGAGAGGAUGAUCAGUCACACUGGAACUGAGACACGGUCCAGACUCCUACGGGAGGCAGCAGUGGGGAAUAUUGGACCAUGGGCGAAAGCCUGAUCCAGCCAUGCCGCGUGUGUGAAGAAGGUCUUCGGAUUGUAAAGCACUUUAAGUUGGGAGGCGUUACCAACAGAAUAAGCACCGGCUAACUUCGUGCCAGCAGCCGCGGUAAUAC